GGGUUGUGAGGUUAAGCGACUAAGCGUACACGGUGGAUGCCCUGGCAGUCAGAGGCGAUGAAGGACGUGCUAAUCUGCGAAAAGCGCCGGCGAGGUGAUAUGAACCUUUGACCCGGCGAUGUCCGAAUGGGGAAACCCAGUGUGAUUCGUCACACUAUCGUUAACUGAAUACAUAGGUUAACGAGGCGAACCGGGGGAACUGAAACAUCUAAGUACCCCGAGGAAAAGAAAUCAACCGAGAUUCCCCCAGUAGCGGCGAGCGAACGGGGAGCAGCCCAGAGUCUGAAUCAGCGUGUGUGUUAGUGGAACGGUCUGGAAAGUCCGGCGAUACAGGGUGACAGCCCCGUACACGAAAGCACACAUGCUGUGAACUCGAAGAGUAGGGCGGGACACGUGGUAUCCUGUCUGAAUAUGGGGGGACCAUCCUCCAAGGCUAAAUACUCCUGACUGACCGAUAGUGAACCAGUACCGUGAGGGAAAGGCGAAAAGAACCCCGGCGAGGGGAGUGAAAAAGAACCUGAAACCGUGUACGUACAAGCAGUGGGAGCACCCUUUGGGGUGUGACUGCGUACCUUUUGUAUAAUGGGUCAGCGACUUAUAUUCUGUAGCAAGGUUAACCGCAUAGGGGAGCCGAAGGGAAACCGAGUCUUAACUGGGCGUUAAGUUGCAGGGUAUAGACCCGAAACCCGGUGAUCUAGCCAUGGGCAGGUUGAAGGUUGGGUAACACUAACUGGAGGACCGAACCGACUAAUGUUGAAAAAUUAGCGGAUGACCUGUGGCUGGGGGUGAAAGGCCAAUCAAACCGGGAGAUAGCUGGUUCUCCCCGAAAGCUAUUUAGGUAGCGCCUCGUGAACUCAUCUUCGGGGGUAGAGCACUGUUUCGGCUAGGGGGUCAUCCCGACUUACCAACCCGAUGCAAACUGCGAAUACCGAAGAAUGUUAUCACGGGAGACACACGGCGGGUGCUAACGUCCGUCGUGAAGAGGGAAACAACCCAGACCGCCAGCUAAGGUCCCAAAGUCAUGGUUAAGUGGGAAACGAUGUGGGAAGGCCCAGACAGCCAGGAUGUUGGCUUAGAAGCAGCCAUCAUUUAAAGAAAGCGUAAUAGCUCACUGGUCGAGUCGGCCUGCGCGGAAGAUGUAACGGGGCUAAACCAUGCACCGAAGCUGCGGCAGCGAACGUAUCACUUAAAGCGAUUUGAUAAGGUUAAACGAUUGACGGAGCGAAGCGACGUCAAAGCGUUCCAUUACGUUGAGUCGGUUUAAGGAUACGUUCGUUGGGUAGGGGAGCAUUCUGUAAGCCGUUGAAGGUGUGCUGUGAGGCAUGCUGGAGGUAUCAGAAGUGCGAAUGCUGACAUAAGUAACGAUAAAGCGGGUGAAAAGCCCGCUCGCCGGAAGACCAAGGGUUCCUGUCCAACGUUAAUCGGGGCAGGGUGAGUCGACCCCUAAGGCGAGGCCGAAAGGCGUAGUCGAUGGGAAACAGGUUAAUAUUCCUGUACUUGGUGUUACUGCGAAGGGGGGACGGAGAAGGCUAUGUUAGCCGGGCGACGGUUGUCCCGGUUUAAGCAUGUAGGCGGAGGUUCCAGGUAAAUCCGGUACCUUUUAACGCUGAGGUGUGAUGACGAGGCACUACGGUGCUGAAGUAACAAAUGCCCUGCUUCCAGGAAAAGCCUCUAAGCAUCAGGUAACACGAAAUCGUACCCCAAACCGACACAGGUGGUCAGGUAGAGAAUACCAAGGCGCUUGAGAGAACUCGGGUGAAGGAACUAGGCAAAAUGGUGCCGUAACUUCGGGAGAAGGCACGCUGACAUGUAGGUGAAGCCCCUGCGGGUGGAGCUGAAGUCAGUCGAAGAUACCAGCUGGCUGCAACUGUUUAUUAAAAACACAGCACUGUGCAAACACGAAAGUGGACGUAUACGGUGUGACGCCUGCCCGGUGCCGGAAGGUUAAUUGAUGGGGUUAUCCUUUGGGAGAAGCUCUUGAUCGAAGCCCCGGUAAACGGCGGCCGUAACUAUAACGGUCCUAAGGUAGCGAAAUUCCUUGUCGGGUAAGUUCCGACCUGCACGAAUGGCGUAAUGAUGGCCAGGCUGUCUCCACCCGAGACUCAGUGAAAUUGAACUCGCUGUGAAGAUGCAGUGUACCCGCGGCAAGACGGAAAGACCCCGUGAACCUUUACUAUAGCUUGACACUGAACAUUGAGCCUUGAUGUGUAGGAUAGGUGGGAGGCUUUGAAGCGUGGACGCCAGUCUGCGUGGAGCCAACCUUGAAAUACCACCCUUUAAUGUUUGAUGUUCUAACCUGGCGCCCUAAUCGGGCGUGGGGACAGUGUCUGGUGGGUAGUUUGACUGGGGCGGUCUCCUCCUAAAGAGUAACGGAGGAGCACGAAGGUUGGCUAAUCCUGGUCGGACAUCAGGAGGUUAGUGCAAUGGCAUAAGCCAGCUUGACUGCGAGCGUGACGGCGCGAGCAGGUGCGAAAGCAGGUCAUAGUGAUCCGGUGGUUCUGAAUGGAAGGGCCAUCGCUCAACGGAUAAAAGGUACUCCGGGGAUAACAGGCUGAUACCGCCCAAGAGUUCAUAUCGACGGCGGUGUUUGGCACCUCGAUGUCGGCUCAUCACAUCCUGGGGCUGAAGUAGGUCCCAAGGGUAUGGCUGUUCGCCAUUUAAAGUGGUACGCGAGCUGGGUUUAGAACGUCGUGAGACAGUUCGGUCCCUAUCUGCCGUGGGCGCUGGAGAAUUGAGGGGGGCUGCUCCUAGUACGAGAGGACCGGAGUGGACGCAUCACUGGUGUUCGGGUUGUCAUGCCAAUGGCAUUGCCCGGUAGCUACAUGCGGAAGAGAUAAGUGCUGAAAGCAUCUAAGCACGAAACUUGCCCCGAGAUGAGUUCUCCCUGAGACUUAGAGUCUCCUGAAGGAACGUUGAAGACGACGACGUUGAUAGGCCGGGUGUGUAAGCGCAGCGAUGCGUUGAGCUAACCGGUACUAAUGAACCGUGAGGCUUAACCUUACAACGCCGAAG
rnacentral:rRNA from 1 species